GUAGGGGUACCCUGAAGUGGGCUCUCCCCUGGUAGGAUUAGGGGCAGGGAGGGUCUCAGAAUAGGAGUCUUGUGGGUUCAGGUGGGAUUAGCGUAAAGUCAGGUACCAUUUCAGGGUGACCCCAAGAGCAAUACUGUCAUUGUUGCUGUAGAGGUUGCUGCCGGUUUGUCUGAUGACUUGAGCUGAGAAUAUCAAAAGGCAAAUGCAGAAGAUACAGGUGAGGAGCCGACCAGGCUGGGAAUGGGGAGGAGAGGGGCUGUGAGCUCUGGCUCUCUCCUCGGCCAAGCAUCCAGAGAGAGUGACACAGCAUGUUAAAUUGUGCUCUUUAACACCCUUCUCCACUAAAAUGAAUCAGGGCUCCGUGGUGAAAAGUUUUUUUAAUUUUGAGAGCUGGGAUUCCCUUGGAGUGUAGGGAUAAAAUGGUUGUUUCAGCACUUGCUAACAAAGCAAACAGGACCAAUAAAGUCCAACAUUGGCUAAACGUCAUUCAACAAAUAUUGAUUGAGUACCUAAUAUGUUGCAGGCACUGUUCAUAAAUAAUAGAGCAAAAAAUAAAUAUCGGAGACAAAGAUCCCCCUUGUACUUAGCUCACUCGUAUUUGUGCAUGUGUGUCUUUGGGAUAGAAUUCCUAGAAAUGGGGUCCCUGAGUCAAAGGGCAGCUGCAUAGGUAGUUUUGCUAGAUAGCGGUAAACGUCUCUUCCUAGGUACUGUACUAUUUUAUAUUCCCACUAACAGUGUAUGGGCCUGUUUCCCAAGCCUUGUCAACAGAAUAUGUUGUCAACUAUCAGAUUUUUGCCAAGCUGAUAGAUGUGAAAUGGUAUCUCAGUGUAGUUUCCCUUAUCAUGAAUGAGGCCCAUCACCUUUUCCUAUGUUUAUGGGCUUUCUUUUCUAUUAACAGUUUGUUCAUAUCUUUUGGUCUUUUUUUCUAUUAGGUUAUUGUACACAGUAAUGAAAUGAGAUAGGCUAUUGCGGUAAUCAAGGCCAAGAAUUGGUAGUGACUUGGAUCAGGGUGGUAGCAGUGGAAAGGGGAAAUGUGGUCAGAUUCGAAUUGAAUUUUGGAGGUAGAAUCCACAGAAUUUAUAUAUGGAGUGUAAAAUAAAGAGAGGAGUCAAUAACAAUCAGGUUUUGAUCCUGAGCAACUAGAUGAGAGUCAUUUUCCAUGACUGAGAUGGAGAAGACUAGGAGGAUAAGGUGUGAUGGGUCAUAGCAGGAUUAGAAAUGUGUAUUAGACCUCCAAGUGCAGAAGUCAGUUAGACAGUUGGCUAUAUGAGCCCAAUGGUCUGGGCAGAGGUCAGGGCUGGUGAUAGCAAUCUGAGUAUCAUCCAACAGAUAGUUGAAAUUUAAAGUCUGAGGCAGGAGCUGAGCAUGGAAGAGGUCCAGGGAUUAUGUUCUGGGGAGCUCCAAUGUUUGAAAGUCAAGGAAAGGAGGAGGAAGCAGCAAGGGAGACUUGAGGAGAGGCCAGAGGAGGAGGAGGAAACCAAGGGUACAUCACAGGGGAGAAACCAAGUAAAGAAAGUAUUUCAAGGAAGAGAGUGAUCGGCCAUGUCAGAUCGGCUGGUAAGUCAAGGAAGAUAAGGCCUGAGAAUUAAACAUUGGAAUUAGGAACAGGAAAAUACUGGGAGGCCUUGAUAAUUUAGGCAAAUGUCCUUCUGUAUUUUCCCUUUGCUUAUUCAAUCAUAUGAUUUUUUUUUUUUUUUUUUUUUUGCGGUACGCGGGCUUCUCGCUGUUGUGGCCUCUCCCGUUGCGGAGCACAGGCUCCGGACGCGCAGGCUCAGCGGCCAUGGCUCACGGGCCCAGCCGCUCCGCGGCAUGUGGGAUCUUCCCAGAACGGGGUACGAACCCGUGUCCUCUGCAUCGGCAGGCGGACUCUCAACCACUGCGCCACCAGGGAAGCCCUGACUUUUUUCUUUUUAACGAACAUGAUAUGAUUCAUGUAACCGAUUCUUUCCACUUAAUAUAUUUAUACAUUUUCCAAGUCAACAUAUAAAAAGAUAUCUCUUUCUUAAAAAUAACCAAAUAAUAUUCCGUUGCAAGGAUUUUCCAUUUCAAGCUUAUAGGUGCUACACUGAUGCAGACCCCGAGGCCCCCCAAAAUAUGGCAAUGGUAAAUAUGACCUUCAUAGGGCAAAGUGCCCAAGAUGUAAGAAGAAAAUUACAAAAGUUAGAUGGUACAUUUGGAAUGAACCCUUCGCAACUGGUAGAUGCUGCUUUUAAAGUGUUGAGCAACAGGGAACAAUGACAGAAGGAAGAAGAUGCAAAAUGGAAUGCAGCUUUUCUGGCAGCAGCAUUAGAUUCUCAGAAGGUGAGUAACCCGAAGAGAGGUAAGCCACCGCUGGGGAGGGAACAGUGUGCUUACUGUAAGGAGGAAGGGUAUUGGAAAACAGAUUGCCCUAGACAAAAAAAUAAGAAUGAAAACAAUGAAAGAAAGAUGGGGGCCUCUCAUGUGGUAGAAAGAGAGGAACACUCUGAAAAUGAAUGAAGAGGCCUGGGGGCUCGACUUGAGGCGUCCAAUUCCAAUUCCCCCACAGGAGUCCCAGGUAACUUUGACAGUGGGGGACAAGUUGAUUGACUUUCUGAUAGAUAUGGGUGCAACAUACCCUGUGGUAAAUACCAAGGUGGCGCAGAAAACAUCUCAGUCCAUCCUGGUCAAGGGAGUUUCUGGAGAAGUACAAAAUCAUUCUUUCUUACAACCUCUAGAAUGCCAGUUAGGGGACCUCACCCGGAAACACAGUUUCUUAUAUAUGCCAGUAUAUCCAAUCUCUCUUUUGGGCCGAGAUCUCCUUUGGAAAUUAAAUGCUCAAGUAAUUUUUUUGCCAGGACAGCUUGACAUUGGGGUCCCACCAGAGCACACUGUAAGCCUACAGAUGGCCCUCAUGGACACCCCAGAAAAGGAGACAGAGCUCUGUCCCCCCAAGGCUUCGAAAAGGACUCGAAGCUCAGGUGCAGCGGAGGAAAUUGACAGGAAGCUGAGGCCUGUGGACCACAGACCAGGAAGGGCCUUCGCACCCACCCUGCAUUUCCAAGGAGUGAACUGAGGGUUAUGGGAACCAUGACAACGGCCCUCCAGGAGGAAACCAGUGGUGCUCUGCCCUGUCCUGUCUUUUCUGUCUGCAUCGGGGAGCCUUGGAACUGCAAGCUGGCUGCGUAUCACCUGGGAGGGGUGAGGUUCCUUGGGGGGAUACAUCACUGCAUGACCAACUUCUUCUGGAACCCUUGGGGCCAGCAGAGCUGCCGUCUGUUCUACCCUGGCCUCAGGCACCACCUUUGCCUAAAGAGCACCUGGCACCAAGGAGAAACAUGAUGUCACGAUGUCAUUAGAGCCAGAUAACUCCUCCUGGCCAGCCCUGCCAAGGGUCACGGAGCACAGAAGUUGGACUAGGCCCCAGUCUCUCCCGACUCCAGGGCCACUGUCCUUUGCUUACAGAGAUAUUAGCAAAAAUUAUUUAAAAGCAUUCGAUUUCUAAUAACAUUCUCGCUCCAUACCUAUCUCAAUGACUGCUGGAAACAGGUAGGCACUUCCUCCUUAGGCUCCAAGUCCAGGUGACCUUCCUUAGUGGCCAAUGUUGUUUUUUAAAACCACGAAUCUCAGAGUUGACUCUGGUAGGUUGAGUCCACACGGACACGUAGACAUGCUGAUGACAUGUCUCUUGCCCAUGGUAAGAGUCUCUUAAGGUAAGACACAACAGAAAUCAAAGUUGAAGAAGUGACAGAUGUCCAUAAAGUCCUCUCAGUGGAGGACUUGGUCCAAAUGGAUGAGGUUGGAGUUGGCAUCCUUCUCACAGGGAGACCAGGCUGGGUAUUUUGCUGGGAGCAGGCCUGUCGGAUUCCCCGGCUACCUAGACGCUUAGCAGCCCUGGGAAAACCCAAGUCCACAGACCAAGGUUUUUCUGUUAGGUCUUGGGGUCCUGGCAGCUUGUCUUCUGCCUGUCCCCGUGUCUGUCUGGCCAGUUCCCCGCCCUUAGUUCUUAUUGCAACAGGCCCUCACACCUCCCCCGCUGCCACUCUCCUGACUCCAUGGGUGGGUGCCUCUCUUGUGAGCUUCCCAAGCACUGUGCUUCCUGAGAGCCUACUGCUUCCCCAAAACCCCAGAGCCCUGGAAGUUGCAGGGACCUGGGAAACAAAGCAGAAGGCUUUUCCGGGAUGUGACCCCUGCAGAGUCCCCCACGUGGCCUGGAGUUUCCAUAAUGAUGGUAAGGAGUCUAAGAUUCUAAACUGAAAAGGCAGCUGGUCAAGUGAGACAGUGAUAGGGAAGAGGAAUCUGGGGGGAAAAGAGCUCCGAGGUGAAUUGCGGGGGGCUGGGGGAGGAGUGUGUGUGGGCAGGGCACAGAUCUGAGGUCCAUUUUUUUGUCUCCCACUCUCUGAAAUGACUUUCACACCUUGUUGUCACCCCCCCAAAACCUCCCAUGCCCUACCUCUCCUCCCUCUCAGCUGCUACACUGCUUCCUGUUUAACCAAGAAAACAGAUAAACCGCCUCUGAUUUUAUCAAUAGGCUGUGGACCCCACCCCCCUUCCUAACCAAGGACAUCCCUCCUGCAACUGACCUCUAUCUACCUGCAUUACUAGGUUUUCCCUCCGUGUGGGAUCCUUGUCAAGCAAAUAAAAUCACUCUAGGAGAGUGAAGUUUUAGAAAUCAACUCUAUUGAGUUAUGAUGUGGAUAUAAAAGGCACCCAUUAUAAGUGCAAAGUUAGAUGAGUUCUGACACGUGUAUUCCCCUGUGUAACUGCCACCACCGCUGUGAGGUCAGAGGUCAUUCCCUUCAACCCCGUGAGGGAUCCCACUGCUGAGGAGUGUUCCCUUGUAUGGAUGCAGCACAAUUUGUUCAUGCCUUUGCCUGUUGGUAUACAAUUGGGCUAUUUCUACUUUUUGGCUAUUAUGAACAAAAAGUGCAGCGAAAAUGUAUAAGUCUGUGUGGAUGCACGUUACUUCUCUUGAGUAAAUAUCUACAGGCAGAAUAGCUGGGCCAUAUGAUAAUCUAUGUUUAGUUUUACUAGAAACUUCCAAACUUGUUCUCCAAAGUGGCUCUACCAUUUUACAUUUCCUUAGUGGCCCAUGAAAGUUCAGGAUGCUGCAAUUAGCAUUGCCAGUUUUUUCUCCCUAUCUUUAGCCAUUCUAUCGCGUGUAUAGAGGGGUAUGCAUUUUGGUUGUAAUUUGCAUUUUUGUUUUAUGACGAAUCGUGUUGAGCAUCUUUUCAGGUACUCAUUGGCUAUUCAAGUAUCACGCACAUGUAUUGUCUCACAGCUUCCAUGGGUCCUGCAGGCCUGGCUGAGCUGGGCCUUCGGCUCAGGGUCUCACAAGGUGUUGGCCAGGGCUGCAGGUCUUUUUCCAGUCACACAUGGUUGUUGGCAGAAUUCACUUCCUUGCAGCUGUAGAACCCAUGGUGAUUCAGGCCAAAGGGAAAGCUCUGCCGCUGCUUCUAGAGCCUCAUUUAAAAGGCUCACCUGAUUAGGUCAGGCCCACCCAUUGGUAAUCUCCCUUUUGACUGACUCAAAGUCAACUGAUCAGGAACCUUAAUUACAUCUGUCAAUCCCUUCAUUUAAUAUGAUGUAAUCCAAUCACAGGAGUGACAUCCACAACAUUCACUGGUCCCACACAUACUGUAAGGGAGAUUAUUAUACAUGGGCAUGGGUCAUCUUAGAAUUCUUACCACACCCAUUUUCAAUUGGCUGGUUUGUCUCCUCCUCACUGUGUGAUAUGAGUGCUUUAUAAAUUCCAAAUACAAGUCCUGUACAGAUACAUGUAUUGCAAAUAUUUUUCUCCCAGCCCCUAACUUGCCUUUUCAUUUUCUUAAUGGUGUUUUUGGAAGAACCGAAAUUUUUAAUUUUGAUGAAGUCCAAUUUGUCAGCUUUUUCUUUUAUGGUUCACACUUCAUAUUUCCCCACAAGAAAUCUUUCCCUACCUAAAGUUUACACUAUUGUCUCCUAUGUUUUCUUUUAGAAGUUUUAUAGUUUUACAUUUAGUUCUGUGACUCAUUUUAAGUCAACUUUUGUGUAUCAUGUGAGAUAAGAGUUGACAUUCACCUUCUUUUCCCAAAUGGAUAUACCAUUUUACCAGCAUUAUCUGCUGAAAACACCAUCAUUUCCCCCAUUGAAUUACCUUGGCACUUUAAUUGAAAAUCAAUGAAUAUGGGUCUACUUCUAGACUGUUAUUCCAUUGAUUUCUAUUUUUAUACUUAAUCUAUAGUAACCUACUUGAUUACUGUAUAUUUACAUUGUCUUAAAAUUUAGACAGAUUACACCCUUAAGCUUUGUUCUUUUCCAAAAAUUUUCUAUUUUAUGACCUUUUGAUUUCUGUAUAAAAUCUCAGAAUCAGCUUGUCAAAUUCUAAAAAUCAGAAAUAAGCCUGCUGGGAUCUUGAUUGGGAUUGCAUUGAAUAUGUAACUCAGCUUAGAGAGAAAUGCCAUCUAACAAUAUUGAGUCCUCUAAUCCAUCAGCCUGGUAUAUAUCUCCAUUUAUUUUCUCCCAGCUUCGCUUUAUAGUUUACAGCAUGCAUGUUUUUCACAUAUUUCAUUAAAUUUUCCUUUAGUAUAUAUCACCUUUUUAGAUGCUUUUAUAAAUGGUACUUAAAAUUUUCCUUUUCCAGUUGUUCAUUGUUAAUGUAUAGAAGUAUAAUUGAUUAUUGUGAUAUUGACCCUGUAUUUUGUGACUUAGCUAAGUUCACUUAAUAGUCCAGUAGAUUUUUUUUAAGAUUCGUUAGAAUUUUUGAGUACAUGAUCAUAUCAUCUGCAAAUAAAGUUUUGGUCUCUCCUUUCCAAUCUGUAUGCCUUUUUGCGCUAGCUCGGACCUCCAGCACAAUGUUAAAAAACAAACAAACAAACAAAAAACUGGAGAGACCAGACAUCCUCACCUCAUUCCCAUUAUUAAGGAGGAAAGCCAGCCUUUCCUGAGGAUUAUUCAGUAGCUGCUAAGUCUCAGGCAACAGUUCUGAAU